UACGGAAGGGGCAAGCGUUGUUCGGAAUCAUUGGGCGUAAAGGGCGCGCAGGUGGCUCUGUAUGUCUGCCGUGAAAGCAUACAGCUCAACUGUAUUGUGUCGGUAGAAACUGCAGGACUUGAGGCUGGGGAGGGGCUGGUGGAAUUCCCUGUGUAGCGGUGAAAUGCGUAGAGAUGGGGGAGAACACUCGUGGCGAAGGCGGCCAGCUAGACCAGUUCUGACGCUGAGGCACGAAAGGCCAGGGGAGGGACAAAACGGGG
rnacentral:rRNA from 1 species